CAACCUGCCGAUGACUCGGGGAUAGCCUUUCGAAAGAAAGAUUAAUACCCGAUGGCAUAGUUCUUCCGCAUGGUAGAACUAUUAAAGAAUUUCGGUCAUCGAUGGGGAUGCGUUCCAUUAGGUUGUUGGCGGGGCAACGGCCCACCAAGCCUUCGAUGGAUAGGGGUUCUGAGAGGAAGGUCCCCCACAUUGGAACUGAGACACGGUCCAAACUCCUACGGGAGGCAGCAGUGAGGAAUAUUGGUCAAUGGACGAGAGUCUGAACCAGCCAAGUAGCGUGAAGGAUGACUGCCCUAUGGGUUGUAAACUUCUUUUAUACGGGAAUAAAGUGAGGCACGUGUGCCUUUUUGUAUGUACCGUAUGAAUAAGGAUCGGCUAACUCCGUGCCAGCAGCCGCGGUAAUACGGAGGAUCCGAGCGUUAUCCGGAUUUAUUGGGUUUAAAGGGGGCGUAGGCGGACGCUUAAGUCAGUUGUGAAAGUUUGCGGCUCAACCGUAAAAUUGCAGUUGAUACUGGGUGUCUUGAGUACAGUAGAGGCAGGCGGAAUUCGUGGUGUAGCGGUGAAAUGCUUAGAUAUCACGAAGAACUCCGAUUG
rnacentral:rRNA from 1 species